UGGCGGCAGGCCUAACACAUGCAAGUCGAGCGGCAGCGGAAAGUAGCUUGCUACUUUGCCGGCGAGCGGCGGACGGGUGAGUAAUGUCUGGGAAACUGCCUGAUGGAGGGGGAUAACUACUGGAAACGGUAGCUAAUACCGCAUGACCUCGCAAGAGCAAAGUGGGGGACCUUCGGGCCUCACGCCAUCGGAUGUGCCCAGAUGGGAUUAGCUAGUAGGUGAGGUAAUGGCUCACCUAGGCGACGAUCCCUAGCUGGUCUGAGAGGAUGACCAGCCACACUGGAACUGAGACACGGUCCAGACUCCUACGGGAGGCAGCAGUGGGGAAUAUUGCACAAUGGGCGCAAGCCUGAUGCAGCCAUGCCGCGUGUGUGAAGAAGGCCUUCGGGUUGUAAAGCACUUUCAGCGAGGAGGAAGGCAGUCGUGUUAAUAGCACGAUUGAUUGACGUUACUCGCAGAAGA
rnacentral:rRNA from 1 species